UCAUAGCUCAGUCGGUAGAGCAUUCGCCUUGAUAGCGAGUGGUCGUGGGUUCGAGUCCCGCUG
rnacentral:ncRNA from 12 species